UACGUAGGGUGCGAGCGUUGUCCGGAAUUACUGGGCGUAAAGAGCUCGUAGGUGGUUUGUCGCGUUGUUCGUGAAAACUCACAGCUUAACUGUGGGCGUGCGGGCGAUACGGGGCAGACUGGAGUUCGGCAGGGGAGACUGGAAUUCCUGGUGUAGCGGUGAAAUGCGCAGAUAUUGGGAAGAACACCUGAGGCGAAGGCGGGUUGCUGGGCCGACACUGACGCUGAGGCGCGAAAGCCAGGGGAGCAAACGGG
rnacentral:rRNA from 1 species